AGGGUCAUGCUUCACCAUUUUCUUCUUCUUCUCUAUAUAUGAAAUGAAAAAAAAUCUAAGAUCGACUUCAUGCAACUAGUCAUAUAGCUCGAACUCUCUUUAUUUACUUUUGUGAAUUAUUUUUUUUUGUAGAAGAAAAAAAUCUAAUUAACUUAUUUGCUAUAUCGUGUUCUUUCUAAAUAUUUUUAUUUUCACAGCAUCCUGUGAUUCCUAUACAAAAAAAUCACAUCCAGUCAUAAUUGUCC
rnacentral:lncRNA from 1 species